rnacentral:misc_RNA from 1 species
AACCUUAUGGACCUGCGGGCGUAUACCUGCGGAAGGAUCAUUACAGAGUUGCAAAACUCCCUAAACCAUUGUGAACCUACCUUCUACCGUUGCUUCGGCGGGCGGGCCUAGCGCCCCCCCGGCCCCCCGCGGGCGCCCGCCGGAGGAUAACCAAACUCUUGACAUCAGUGGCCUCUCUGAGUAUUCUUUACUGAAUAAGUCAAAACUUUUAACAAUGGAUCUCAGAUCGGAAGAGCACAC